AACGAACGCUGGCGGCACGCCUAACACAUGCAAGUCGAACGAGACCUCCGGGUCUCGUGGCGCACGGGGGCGUAACGCGAGGGAACCUUCCCUUAGGUUCGGAAUAACUCCUCGCCAGGGAUGCUAAUACCGGAUAAUGUCUACGGACCAAAGAUUUAUCGCCUUUGGAUGGGCCCGCGUUGGAUUUGCUAGUUGGUAGGGUAAAAGCCUAGCAAGGGGACGAUCCAUAGCUGGUAUGGGAGGAGGAUCAGCCACACUGUGACUGAGACACGGCCCAGACUCGUACGGGAGUCAGCAGUGGGGAAUAUUAGACAGUGGGCGAAAGCCUGAUCAGGCAGUGCCGCGGGAGUGAUGAAGGCCUUAGGGUUGUAAAACUAUUUUACCCGGGAUGAUAAAGACAGUACCGAGAGAAUAAGGUACGGCUUACUCCGUG
rnacentral:rRNA from 1 species